UUGCUUGGGCAGAACAUAUACUAAAAUUGGAACGAUACAGAGAAGAUUAGCAUGGCCCCUGCGCAAGGAUGACACGACUAUGAUGACAUUAGAGAUUUAG